CACUCCUGGACUUUCUCGGCUUCGGUGCUCUUUCCACAAGCAUCUUCAAAGCGGGGCAUUAGCUCUUUGGUAAGCAAGUUUUCAGGCAGUUCUCGUAGGUACUGUUUCAGCAAGCUGGCUACUGUGUUGGGCUCGUAUUCUUCCAGGUUGGGAGAUUCUUCUCGAUCAUAGGCUGCCUUGAGCUCAUCAACUUUUGACUUUAUUCCUGAAACUCUGUAGAUGCCUUCACACUUCAUGCCAUACUUCUCUACGUAAUCUAUACAUUCACGGAAAACUGCAGGCAGGCGGAUGCCAUCAUACAUCAUGGUCCUAUCUACUGCGUCAGACAACGGAAUGCCAAACACAGGUCUGUGACUUGGAACAUCCACUUGAGGUAUCUCUGGCUCUUGAAUUGGCUUUUUCUUUUUCUUCUUCUCUUUCCACUGUUUUACAACAUCUGCCGCAGUUAAGUCUUUUGACUUCUUCUCUUUGUGUUUGUCUUCCUUAUGCUUAUCUUCCUUGUGUUUUUCAUCUUUGGGUUUCUCUUUUAUUUUAAAAUCCUUUUCCUUUUUUUUGGAAAAGCUGGGUUUCUUGAAGACAUGUAUUCCCUUGGACCGCUUCAACUUGGAAGGACUUUCAGCUUCAUCGCCGGAACUGUCCUCUUGGAAGGCAGCAUAACCUUCCGUUCUUUUUUCUUUCUUUUUAAAUUUUCCUUUCUUCUUCCCAUGCUCCUUUUCAUCAUCAGAUACUAUAUCUGGAGGCUCAUGCAAGCUGUCAUGAGGUGGCGAAGGCUCACCGGUACGGUACAACCCAGGGAAUUUUGUAGGGCUGAUCUCUUCAGAGCUGGGAGUACGAGCAAGACCCCCACUGUGUUCUACCCGACGGUGUUCACUGGGGCUGCUGGUGGGAGGCAGGAAGCACUCGGUCAUUCUGAUUCCCUGAUAUCAAAGUGAAAUCUUCUGCUACCUGUCCAUCACACCGUCGGGGUCCCGCUCGCUGGCGCAGCGGCUCCGCCUCAGGCCUCACGCACGCGGCUCCGCCUCGCGCCUCAUCCCGCCGCCUCCGCCGCCCGGCCCGCAAGGACGGCUGAGGAGAGGCGCGAACUCCGCACCGCGCAGGCGCUGCCGCCCUCGCUCGCACCGCCGCUCGGGGCAGCGGCUCCUGCCGCCGCGCAUGCGCAGGGCGCCCGGGGG
rnacentral:lncRNA from 1 species